UGGCGAACGGGUGAGUAACACGUGGGUGAUCUGCCCUGCACUCUGGGAUAAGCCUGGGAAACUGGGUCUAAUACCGGAUAGGACCAUGCUUUAGUGUGUGUGGUGGAAAGUUUUUUCGGUGUAGGAUGAGCCCGCGGCCUAUCAGCUUGUUGGUGGGGUAAUGGCCUACCAAGGCGGCGACGGGUAGCCGGACUGAGAGGUUGGUCGGCACAUUGGGACUGAGAUACGGCCCAG
rnacentral:rRNA from 1 species